AAUUGGGCAACUGAAGGUAUCUGAGCUUUGCUAAAAUCUCAACAAACCGGUAGAUAUUCUACAAAAGAAUCUACUUGGCAUGCUGAUUUGCAUUCUUCAAAGUCAAUGUAGUCAGUAUCCUGGACUGGCGAAGUCUUUUCCUGUUUCCAUGAUGGGACUCCUGGGGACAUUCCAUUUCUUUGAGGUUCAUUGUUUCGGCAGUCUGAUUGAGUGACACAAGUGUCUUUUAGAGUAUCUUCAUUUCUGGCAGGCAGGAUACAGGCCAAUAAUAUAAAAUAAAUCCAUCUACAAUUUU
rnacentral:lncRNA from 1 species